GGGGCGUAGCUCAGUUUUGGUUAGAGCGCGGCACUGUCACUGCCGAGGUCG
rnacentral:tRNA from 1 species